GAUGAACGCUGGCGGCGUGCCUAAUACAUGCAAGUCGAGCGAACGGACGAGAAGCUUGCAUCUCUGAUGUUAGCGGCGGACGGGUGAGUAACACGUGGAUAACCUACCUAUAAGACUGGGAUAACUUCGGGAAACCGGAGCUAAUACCGGAUAAUAUUUUGAACCGCAUGGUUCAAAAGUGAAAGACGGUCUUGCUGUCACUUAUAGAUGGAUCCGCGCUGCAUUAGCUAGUUGGUAAGGUAACGGCUUACCAAGGCAACGAUGCAUAGCCGACCUGAGAGGGUGAUCGGCCACACUGGAACUGAGACACGGUCCAGACUCCUACGGGAGGCAGCAGUAGGGAAUCUUCCGCAAUGGGCGAAAGCCUGACGGAGCAACGCCGCGUGAGUGAUGAAGGUCUUCGGAUCGUAAAACUCUGUUAUUAGGGAAGAACAUAUGUGUAAGUAACUGUGCACAUCUUGACGGUACCUAAUCAGAAAGCCACGGCUAACUACGUGCCAGCAGCCGCGGUAAUACGUAGGUGGCAAGCGUUAUCCGGAAUUAUUGGGCGUAAAGCGCGCGUAGGCGGUUUUUUAAGUCUGAUGUGAAAGCCCACGGCUCAACCGUGGAGGGUCAUUGGAAACUGGAAAACUUGAGUGCAGAAGAGGAAAGUGGAAUUCCAUGUGUAGCGGUGAAAUGCGCAGAGAUAUGGAGGAACACCAGUGGCGAAGGCGACUUUCUGGUCUGUAACUGACGCUGAUGUGCGAAAGCGUGGGGAUCAAACAGGAUUAGAUACCCUGGUAGUCCACGCCGUAAACGAUGAGUGCUAAGUGUUAGGGGGUUUCCGCCCCUUAGUGCUGCAGCUAACGCAUUAAGCACUCCGCCUGGGGAGUACGACCGCAAGGUUGAAACUCAAAGGAAUUGACGGGGACCCGCACAAGCGGUGGAGCAUGUGGUUUAAUUCGAAGCAACGCGAAGAACCUUACCAAAUCUUGACAUCCUUUGACAACUCUAGAGAUAGAGCUUUCCCCUUCGGGGGACAAAGUGACAGGUGGUGCAUGGUUGUCGUCAGCUCGUGUCGUGAGAUGUUGGGUUAAGUCCCGCAACGAGCGCAACCCUUAAGCUUAGUUGCCAUCAUUAAGUUGGGCACUCUAAGUUGACUGCCGGUGACAAACCGGAGGAAGGUGGGGAUGACGUCAAAUCAUCAUGCCCCUUAUGAUUUGGGCUACACACGUGCUACAAUGGACAAUACAAAGGGCAGCGAAACCGCGAGGUCAAGCAAAUCCCAUAAAGUUGUUCUCAGUUCGGAUUGUAGUCUGCAACUCGACUACAUGAAGCUGGAAUCGCUAGUAAUCGUAGAUCAGCAUGCUACGGUGAAUACGUUCCCGGGUCU
rnacentral:rRNA from 1 species